AUGAAACAUCACAGUUUCCAUCUCUGUCUCUCUUUAGCUGCGGCUCGUCCCGCUCUCACAGUGCUGCCGCCCUCCAGAGACCAGCUGCAGCAGGGUAAGGCUACAGUGCUGUGUGUGGCCAGUAAGGGAUUCCCCUCUGACUGGAAGCUGAGCUGGAAGGUGGACGGCAGCAGCAGGAGCUCUGGUGUCAAUCUGAGUCCCAGUCAGCUGCAGAAGGAUGGACUGUACAGCUGGAGCAGCAGCCUGAGCCUCACUGAGAGUGAGUGGAGCAGAGCAACGACCGUCAGCUGUGACGCUACUCACCCAUCCCACAGUGCAGUGACCAAGAGCCUCAACACACAGCAGUGCGAUGAAUGAAACACACACACACACACACACUGUCCUAAAUCAGCCACUGCUCAACAAUUAAUCUUUCAUGCUGUUAGUAUAUUGCUCUUAUAUUCUUAUGUUGUAAUUCUAGAACUGCAAUGCUAUGAAUGUUUUGUUGAUCAUUUUAUUUUUGCUGCCAAAUAAAAGCAUUUUGUCUUAAA